rnacentral:rRNA from 1 species
AUAUCAGUCAUGCAUAGCAUAUCAAUAAGCGGAGGAAAAGAAACUAACAAGGAUUCCCUUAGUAACGGCGAGUGAAGCGGGAAGAGCUCAAAUUUGAAAUCUUCAAGGUUUUACCUUGACGAAUUGUAGUUUAAAGAAGUGUUUUCUGUUGAAGUUUUGGUAAAAGUUCUUUGGAAUAGGACAUCAUAGAGGGUGAGAAUCCCGUAUUUGACCAUUACUUUCAGCUUUGUGAUACACUUUCAAAGAGUCGGAUUGUUUGGGAAUGCAGUCCAAAAUGGGUGGUAAAUUUCAUCUAAAGCUAAAUAUUGGCGAGAGACCGAUAGCGAACAAGUACCGUGAGGGAAAGAUGAAAAGAACUUUGAAAAGAGAGUUAAACAGUACGUGAAACCUGUCAAAAGGGAAGCGUUUGACACCAGUGUUGUUUUCUCGAAAAUCAAUUAAAAAGAGUUGGAUUUUGUGUUGUAUUGACUUUAUCAGCUUUCUUCACUCUUUUCCAGCUUUUUUUAAUGCACUUUUCGUUUAACAAGUCAACAUCAGUUUCUUUUGUUGUAGAAAAGGUCAUUGGAAGGUGGCUUUCUCUUCGGAGAAAGUGUUUAUAGCCUUUGACUCAUGCAAUCGGAGAGACUGAGGUCUGCAGCGUAGAUCCUUCGGGGUUAGAUACAUUUGUGCUAAGUUAUAGCUUUUCAUAGACAACUUGUUGACUAUGUUUAGUCUUGUAGCUUACUCGCUUAUGCUAUUUUACCUACGCUUAGGAUGUUGAACUCUAUCACACACAG